CAGUCGCCGCGGGAAUACAGAGGGUGCGAGCGUUAAUCGGAUUUACUGGGCGUAAAGCGUGCGUAGGCGGCUUCUUAAGUCGGAUGUGAAAUCCCUGAGCUUAACUUAGGAAUUGCAUUCGAUACUGGGAAGCUAGAGUAUGGGAGAGGAUGGUAGAAUUCCAGGUGUAGCGGUGAAAUGCGUAGAGAUCUGGAGGAGUACCGAUGGCGAAGGCAGCCAUCUGGCCUAAUACUGACGCUGAGGUACGAAAGCAUGGGGAGCAAACAGGAUUAGAUACCCGCGUAGUCCCUGUCUCUUAUAC
rnacentral:rRNA from 1 species